AUUGAACGCUGGCGGCAGGCCUAACACAUGCAAGUCGAGCGGAGCGGCGGACGGGUGAGUAAUGCCUAGGACUCUGCCUGGUAGUGGGGGAUAACGUCCGGAAACGGGCGCUAAUACCGCAUACUAUCAGAUGAGCCUAGGUCGGAUUAGCUAGUUGGUGGGGUAAAGGCCUACCAAGGCGACGAACCGUAACUGGUCUGGGAGGAUGAUAAGUAAAACGUGAAAUGAGAAACGGUCAAGACUCCCACGGGAGGCAGGAGGGGGGAAUAGUGGACAAUGGGCGAAAGCCUGAUCCAGCCAUGCCGCGUGUGUGAAGAAGGUCUUCGGAUUGUAAAGCACUUUAAGUUGGGAGGCGUUACCAACAGAAUAAGCACCGGCUAACUUCGUGCCAGCAGCCGCGGCAAUUC
rnacentral:rRNA from 1 species